rnacentral:misc_RNA from 1 species
CCCUGUGAACAUAAAUAGAUUGUUUCGGUAAAGAACAAAUAGAUACUAAAUGCACAAAUACGGACUAUGAAUAUAUAUAAACGAGUGUAUGCAUAAAGAAAAUAAAUCCAUUCGGUUCACUUUCAUAUCAGCAUUAGCACUGAAAGGAUAAGUAGAUAUUAAAUUAGAAAGUCAUAAACAACCCCAAGAUAAAGUUCUGAUGAAUAUAAAGAUUGAAAAGUUCCAAACCAAGACCCCCAGCAAUGACUGCACAAUGUCAAAUUUUUAACUUAGGGAGACUAAACUAUACCUCAACAAGGCUAUUCACAUAGGGAAUCAUUCUUGGAUCAUAAUCAACUUCAGUUGCCAAUUGUUUGAUAUCAUUCGUCCUCGUGUCGUAGGAAAUGAGUGUACUCCCCAAUCGUAUCACCACAAUUUUACCACCGAUAAACAAUACACUUUUCUGAUCAGUCUGACCAGCAAACACUGAAUCGUUUAAAGUUACAUUUUUCACAGACCAUGCUCUUGUUUUGCUAUGCAUUUGCAUUGUGUUUGUGUAGGGAUUUGACAGCUCUGCUAUUGUUAAUUUUGAACCUUGUAUGGAAGCAGAACACAACUUCCCAUUCACCUUACCCAGAGAACCAGAUGAAUAGGAAUAAAUGAGAGUUGACCGCUCACUCGUCAGAUCAAAAGCAACAACUGUACUCCUUGACUGCCAAUAAACAAUGCCAUCAACAUGAACACCUGUACUAGGAACAAUCUGCCGAUUACCAAAGCAAAUCUCACCAGAAGUUCUCCAAGAUCCUUCAGCAGAUGAAUAAAUAUCAAAUUCAUAUCCAUCUAGAUCAGAUUGAAAUGCACAAAUGAGCUUGUAGUCAGCCACAAAGUUCAGUAAUGAAGGCUCAAAGACGAGCACAAGGGCGGGGUCACAACCAUGGUUAGCAUCAGGUUUAGGAAGUUUCUUCCACUGCUGGAUAACAGGAUUGCAGAUGUAAUAGGCUUUGUAUCCAGUCCGACCCUGGCAGCAGAGAAGUCCAUUGGAAGAACACCUGAUGUCAACUGGUUCAGGCAAAAACUUCAAAGAUGGGUCUGGAACCCCAUAUGCAAUUGGGUCAAGGGAAAUAAAUGAUGGCUGGGAUGAAUGAGAUUGACAAAAGAAGCCAGACAAAUCAUGGAAAGAAUUCGACUGGUUGUGAGCAAAGAAAGGAGUUGAGAUAUAAAGCUUCCACUCCCGACAAACACUAGUGCAUCGACGGAGAGAUUUAGCCGGAAGGUAACGAAGAGUAUUCUCCCUAAUAAUAUCUUUGAGGUCCAUGUAAAUCUUGUUAUUUCUGUUUGCAAAGAACGUGGUAGGUUUCUUUCCUCGAUCCAUUUAACUUCCAAAUAAAAUUUGAAACCAGUUGCUAACUGCACCCAAACCUCAUUUAUCAGAACCACUAAUUACAAAUAUGCAAAUGAUAAACCCCUAACAUGCAUGUGCUUGCGAGAACAGAGAGCACGGAUUAUCUAGUCCAUCCGACAAGUUAUGUUGAUAGAAAACGUAAAAUGUGAUUUAAAAUAGGAAAUAUAAUUUGGUUCUUCAUGCCUUUUCAAAGCGUUGCACCUUAUAGGAACUUGUCCAUAAAAAUCUCCUAUUUUCACAAAAAUUUAGUAGGAUUAGCAACAUUAACUGCAAAAACUUUAUAACACUUUUCAAUUAAGUCCCUAAUAGUUUAUCUUUUAAUCAAAUCCUACUAUCUUUUUUUCUAAAACUGCUAGCCCUAAAUUCAUAAGUGAAGUUUCUUUGGUAACUAGUUUCAAGCGAAUGCCACGUGGUACUUUUUCCAAAUCAGCCUUCCACACUGAAUCUAAGAAAAAUAAAUGAACAGAACAAAAUAAGCAUCAACAAUUUCAAAUUUUCAACUAAAUUUCUUAUUCCAUACCCUCAAAAGUAGAGAAGCAAGCCUUGUAUAUAAUUAUAUAUAGAUAAUAUCGUAACCUUCAAGAAUUAAAA